AAGGCACUCUGGCACCCAGUUUUGGAACUGCAGUUUUAAAAGUCAUAAAUUGAAUGAAAAUGAUAGCAAAGGUGGAGGUUUUUAAAGAGCUAUUUAUAGGUCCCUGGACAGCAUCUUUUUUCAAUUAGGCAGCAACCUUUUUGCCCUAUGCCGUAACCUGUGUCUGCAACUUCCUCUAAUUGGGAAAUAGUUAAGCAGAUUCAUAGAGCUGAAUGAUAAAAUUGUACUACGAGAUGCACUGGGACUCAACGUGACCUUAUCAAGUGAGAUGGAGUCUUGCCCUGUCUCCAAGGCUGGAGCCCAAUGGUGUGAUCUUGGCUCACUGCAACCUCCACCUCCCAGGUUCAAACGUUUCUCCUGCCUCAGCCUCCCAAGUAACUGGGAUUACAGCAGGCUUGGUGCAUUUGACACUUCAUGAUAUCAGCCAAAGUGGAACUAAAAACAGCUCCUGGAAGAGGACUAUGACAUCAUCAGGUUGGGAGUCUCCAGGGACAGCGGACCCUUUGGAAAAGGACUAGAAAGUGUGAAAUCUAUUAGUCUUCGAUAUGAAAUUCUCUGUCUCUGUAAAAGCAUUUCAUAUUUACAAGACACAGGCCUACUCCUAGGGCAGCAAAAAGUGGCAACAGGCAAGCAGAGGGAAAAGAGAUCAUGAGGCAUUUCAGAGUGCACUGUCUUUUCAUAUAUUUCUCAAUGCCGUAUGUUUGGUUUUAUUUUGGCCAAGCAUAACAAUCUGCUCAAGAAAAAAAAAUCUGGAGAAAACAAAGGUGCCUUUGCCAAUGUUAUGUUUCUUUUUGACAAGCCCUGAGAUUUCUGAGGGGAAUUCACAUAAAUGGGAUCAGGUCAUUCAUUUACGUUGUGUGCAAAUAUGAUUUAAAGAUACAACCUUUGCAGAGAGCAUGCUUUCCUAAGGGUAGGCACGUGGAGGACUAAGGGUAAAGCAUUCUUCAAGAUCAGUUAAUCAAGAAAGGUGCUCUUUGCAUUCUGAAAUGCCCUUGUUGCAAAUAUUGGUUAUAUUGAUUAAAUUUACACUUAAUGGAAACAACCUUUAACUUACAGAUGAACAAACCCACAAAAGCAAAAAAUCAAAAGCCCUACCUAUGAUUUCAUAUUUUCUGUGUAACUGGAUUAAAGGAUUCCUGCUUGCUUUUGGGCAUAAAUGAUAAUGGAAUAUUUCCAGGUAUUGUUUAAAAUGAGGGCCCAUCUACAAAUUCUUAGCAAUACUUUGGAUAAUUCUAAAAUUCAGCUGGACAUUGUCUAAUUGUUUUUUAUAUACAUCUUUGCUAGAAUUUCAAAUUUUAAGUAUGUGAAUUUAGUUAAUUAGCUGUGCUGAUCAAUUCAAAAACAUUACUUUCCUAAAUUUUAGACUAUGAAGGUCAUAAAUUCAACAAAUAUAUCUACACAUACAAUUAUAGAUUGUUUUUCAUUAUAAUGUCUUCAUCUUAACAGAAUUGUCUUUGUGAUUGUUUUUAGAAAACUGAGAGUUUUAAUUCAUAAUUACUUGAUCAAAAAAUUGUGGGAACAAUCCAGCAUUAAUUGUAUGUGAUUGUUUUUAUGUACAUAAGGAGUCUUAAGCUUGGUGCCUUGAAGUCUUUUGUACUUAGUCCCAUGUUUAAAAUUACUACUUUAUAUCUAAAGCAUUUAUGUUUUUCAAUUCAAUUUACAUGAUGCUAAUUAUGGCAAUUAUAACAAAUAUUAAAGAUUUCGAAAUAGAA